rnacentral:rRNA from 1 species
CUCUUCAGACGGGAAGAAACGGUCACGGCCAACACCCGUGACUAAUGACGGUACCGUCAGAAGAAGCACCGGCUAACUACGUGC